rnacentral:piRNA from 1 species
UGCGCAAGUCACUGACUCUGUUAGGC